GAAAUGCGAUAAGUAGUGUGAAUUGCAGAAUUCAGUGAAUCAUCGAAUCUUUGAACGCACAUUGCGCCCCUUGGUAUUCCAUGGGGCAUGCCUGUUCGAGCGUCAUUUGUACCCUCAAGCUCUGCUUGGUGUUGGGUGUUUGUCCCCGUCUCCGCGCGUGGACUCGCCCCAACGUGAUUGGCAGCCGGCGUACUGGUCCCGGAGCGCAGCACAUGUCGCGCAAACGAGUGCCUUGGUACGGCGGCGUCCAUAAGCCCCUCUCUCACGCUCUUGACCUCGGAUCAGGUAGGGAUACCCGCUGAACUUAAGC
rnacentral:misc_RNA from 1 species